rnacentral:rRNA from 1 species
ACGAACGCUGGCGGCAUGCCUAACACAUGCAAGUCGAACGAGACCUUCGGGUCUAGUGGCGCACGGGUGCGUAACGCGUGGGAACCUGCCCUUAGGUUCGGAAUAACUCCCCGAAAGGGGUGCUAAUACCGGAUAAUGUCUUCGGACCAAAGAUUUAUCGCCUUUGGAUGGGCCCGCGUUGGAUUAGCUAGUCGGUAGGGUAAAAGCCUACCAAGGCGACGAUCCAUAGCUGGUCUGAGAGGAUGAUCAGCCACACUGGGACUGAGACACGGCCCAGACUCCUACGGGAGGCAGCAGUGGGGAAUAUUGGACAAUGGGCGAAAGCCUGAUCCAGCAAUGCCGCGUGAGUGAUGAAGGCCUUAGGGUUGUAAAGCUCUUUUACCCGGGAUGAUAAUGACAGUACCGGGAGAAUAAGCUCCGGCUAACUCCGUG